GUAGGAUAACGUUGCGUCAGCAGCGGCCCGUAGGGCGAGCGAAGCGAGUCAUCCUGCACGACCCACCA
rnacentral:sRNA from 1 species